AAGAUAAAAAAUAAGAGAUAUGUCUCAUAUAAAAGGAUAUGAAUAAAUAAUCUCACCACAAUAGCACUAAGCAGAAUGAAUGAAAAAAGAUUCACAAUCGCAUAGAAUUAAGAAUGCCAAGAAUGAAGAGAAGAGCCUUAAAGCUUCCAGAGAAAACAGGAUACUUACAAAGAUAUUAGAAUGAAAUUGGUAAAUUUCACCUUUGUAACACUGGAUAGUAGAAGACAAUGGAGCAGUAACCUCAAACUUAAUUCUAUUUCAGCCAAACUAUCAACAAUGAGGUAAAUUCAAGAUAUUUUCAGAAAUGUUAACAAGAACUCAAAAAUCUGUCUUCCAUGCAUCCCUACAUAUGGGUGUAUGCCAACCAAUGAGAAACCAACAGCUAGAAAAUGAUACUUAAAAAAAAUUAUUCACAAUAGUUUCAUUAAACACUUAGCAAUAAAUAUAACAAAAGGUAUAUAAGAUGUGAG
rnacentral:lncRNA from 10 species